UACGUAGGGUGCAAGCGUUAAUCGGAAUUACUGGGCGUAAAGCGUGCGCAGGCGGUUGUGCAAGACAGAGGUGAAAUCCCCGGGCUUAACCUGGGAACUGCCUUUGUGACUGCACGGCUAGAGUGUGUCAGAGGGGGGUAGAAUUCCACGUGUAGCAGUGAAAUGCGUAGAUAUGUGGAGGAAUACCGAUGGCGAAGGCAGCCCCCUGGGAUAACACUGACGCUCAUGCACGAAAGCGUGGGGAGCAAACAGG
rnacentral:rRNA from 1 species